rnacentral:rRNA from 1 species
GUGUCAGCCGCCGCGGUAAUACAGGGGGGGCAAGCGUUGUUCGGAAUUACUGGGCGUAAAGGGUUCGUAGGUGGCCACUUAAGUCAGACGUGAAAUCCCUCAGCUUAACUGGGGAACUGCGUCUGAUACUGAGUGGCUUGAGUGCAGGAGAGGAAUGCGGAAUUCCAGGUGUAGCGGUGAAAUGCGUAGAUAUCUGGAGGAACACCGGUGGCGAAGGCGGCAUUCUGGACUGUAACUGACACUGAGGAACGAAAGCCAGGGGAGCAAACGGGAUUAGAUACCCCGGUAGUCC